UCCCGGUUUCCCGGGCAGUCCUGCUAGAGUCCCGCUUUCGCAAGUAACUAACAGCAAGGGUUGCGCUCGUUAAAGGACUUAACCCAACAUCUCACGACACGAGCUGACGACAGCCAUGCAGCACCUGUGCUUACGUUCAGGUUACCCCGAAACACUUCGGUUAAGAAGUUAGCAUAAGCAUGUCAAGUCUAGGUAAGGUUUCUCGCGUAGUAUCGAAUUAAACCACAUGUUCCACCGCUUGUGCGGGCCCCCGUCAAUUUCUUUGAGUUUUAAUCUUGCGACCGUAAUCCCCAGGCGGAUCACUUAACGCGUUAGCUACGACACCGACUCUAAAACGAGCCGACACCUAGUGAUCAUCGUUUACUGCGUGGACUAC
rnacentral:misc_RNA from 1 species